rnacentral:rRNA from 1 species
GACGAACGCUGGCGGCGUGCCUAAUACAUGCAAGUCGAACGCUUCUUUCCUCCCGAGUGCUUGCACUCAAUUGGAAAGAGGAGUGGCGGACGGGUGAGUAACACGUGGGUAACCUACCCAUCAGAGGGGGAUAACACUUGGAAACAGGUGCUAAUACCGCAUAACAGUUUAUGCCGCAUGGCAUAAGAGUGAAAGGCGCUUUCGGGUGUCGCUGAUGGAUGGACCCGCGGUGCAUUAGCUAGUUGGUGAGGUAACGGCUCACCAAGGUCACGAUGCAUAGCCGACCUGAGAGGGUGAUCGGCCACACUGGGACUGAGACACGGCCCAGACUCCUACGGGAGGCAGCAGUAGGGAAUCUUCGGCAAUGGACGAAAGUCUGACCGAGCAACGCCGCGUGAGUGAAGAAGGUGUUCGGAUCGUAAAACUCUGUUGUUAGAGAAGAACAAGGACGUUAGUAACUGAACGUCCCCUGACGGUAUCUAACCAGAAAGACACGGCUAACUACGUG